rnacentral:rRNA from 1 species
UUUUGAUUAAAAUAAAAGGUUGACUCUGCCCAAUGAGUAAUUAAAUGGCUGCAGUAUAUUGACUGUACAAAGGUAGCAUAAUCAAUUGAUUUUUAAAUGAAAUCUAGAAUGAAUGAGGUGAUGAGAUAUGUGCUUUAUUAAAUUAAAAUUUUUAAUUUAGAUUUAAAGUUAAAAUACUUUAAUUAAUUUAAGGGACGAGAAGACCCUAUAGAAUUUAAUAUUAUUUAAUAAAUUUACUUUAAUAGAGUUUUAUUAAAUAAUAUUUAUUUGGGAGGAAUUUUAAAUUAAUAAAACUUUAAUAAAUUAUUUACAUUAAUAAAUGUUUAUUAAAAAUUUUAUAAAUUAAGUUUUAAAUUAAAUUACCUUAGGGAUAACAGCGUAAUAUUUUCUGAUAGAUCUUAUUGAAGAU